UUACUUAAAAUAUUUACUAUUGAAUUAUGUGUAUUAAAUUGCUAGUUUGAAUUGUAUCUUCGAUUAUCUGGUUUAUUUGGUUUCACCUGCACUGUUUAUUCAUUUAGUUGAUUAUUUGGCUACUCGGUUAUGAUAAACUGUGUUUGCUUGUUUAGAUGCUUUUUAGGUUAAUAUGUAAGUAAGGAAUAAGGUGUUGGUAUGCGAUUAGUAGUUGUUUGGAUGAUAAGAAUCUAUACAUAUGAAAAUUUACUAAGUAUCCGGAGAAAGGAUGGACAGAUCCGAUACAU
rnacentral:lncRNA from 1 species